rnacentral:rRNA from 1 species
AACGAACGCUGGCGGCAGGCCUAACACAUGCAAGUCGAACGCACCGCAAGGUGAGUGGCGCACGGGUGAGUAACACGUGGGAAUGUACCCUUUGGUUCGGAAUAACGUUUGGAAACGAACGCUAAUACCGGAUGAGCCCUGCGGGGGAAAGAUUUAUCGCCAAAGGAGCAGCCCGCGUCUGAUUAGCUAGUUGGUGGGGUAAAGGCCUACCAAGGCGACGAUCAGUAGCUGGUCUGAGAGGAUGAUCAGCCACACUGGGACUGAGACACGGCCCAGACUCCUACGGGAGGCAGCAGUGGGGAAUAUUGGACAAUGGGCGCAAGCCUGAUCCAGCCAUGCCGCGUGAGUGAUGAAGGCCUUCGGGUUGUAAAGCUCUUUCGUCACGCGACGAUGAUGACGGUAGCGUGAGAAGAAGCCCGGCUAACUUCGUGCCAGCAGCCGCGGUAAU